CUGGCAGGCUCUACUUGACCGUGCCUGUCUCUCCACCCCCUCAAGAUUUUAGACCAGCUCCUCAGCAUCAUCCGUGCAUGCGUGUGCACGCAAUGGUGUGGGAACGUGCACAAGCCAGAACGCAUGUGCACAUGGGGACCAAGUCAGAGGCUUCUCAAUGAGAAUGUCUCUUCCGGGAAAAAAAAGGGGAGGGCUUACAAAUGCUACAGUGAUAAGAACUGCAGCUUUUGUAAUCUCUUUUAGACUAUACUCUCAUAUGCAUGCAUAUGCAUUCUAAACUGUGGGAUUUUUGGGGGGUGUUUUAUUUGAAAGUGUG